rnacentral:lncRNA from 1 species
GUGUGGAGAAUUGUUUUAGAUAGGAUUCAAACUAGAGUGAAUUUAAGAAAGAGGAACGAACGUAUUGGUUAAAUAAUAAUUUCUGUUUUGUGCCCUCUUUGCCAAUUACAUGAUGAGAACACUGCACAUCUUCUCUUUUAAUGUUUCCUUUUGACCCUUUUCAGCACCUUUAGCAACAGUACUCUGCCACGGUAUCAGGUUCAAGAGGCCAUGCCACACUGCUGUUUGUUCCUGAUAUAACAACUUAAUUUUCAAUGAUCCUAAAGCCGAAAAUGUCAAAUGAUAGUUACAUAAGACGGUAAUUAAUUGCACCGUUAAGCAGUACUAGAUGUUCAUUCUAAAUCAUUAAUCAUGUUCUCGUCCAAUUUUGUAUGCACACUAAGUGUAAAUUGUAAAAGUGUUUUUAGGUGACUACAAUACCACUGUCUUCAACUGGGACUUCACUCUUCAGUGCCCUCGUUUUACUUUUACUCGUGUUAAUUGUUAAAAGCCUCCUUCGUGUUUGUUACUGUACACUAUUUGUUAAGUGUAUAGUUAAGGGACGUAUUUACUCUGAUUACUCUAGUUUAAUACUACUCAAUUAGUGUAGUAUCAAAUAUAUUACUCAGUGUAAGUGAUUUGGGGUAACACACGUUUGUGGGGGAUAUAUAAUAUAAGUUCAAUCGAUUCUCAUAUAAUAUAUUAUAUGGAAUAGACAAUAAAUUUUAAAGGAGACUAAAUUUUAGAUAAAAAAAUUAGUCUGUAAUUGACUCAAAAGACUAAAUCUUAUGGGAUAUCUCAGAAUCUCAACCAAAAUUUCUAAUUACAGUAAUAAAAGCACAUCAAUAUAUUACAAUCUUAAUACACUAAUUAAAAUUAAAAGAUCAAUAUAAUCUUAACAUUUUCACUUUAAAAUAUUUUUUUUAUAAUUAUUAUCACUUGGUAGUUUUGCAAUCUGCAACGCACCUACAAACUACAGCUUUAAUUAACAAUUAAAAAUAUACGAUGCAGUACUUUGCAUGUUCUCUUACGAGUUUUCCGAGGGGAAGAAAACACACAAAAUGGUCAAAUCCAAAAUAAUAAGUGAUGGUUCCAUUAGAAUCUAGGACACAGGUAGAGGACAAUUACUGUAUUGGUUGAAGCAGCAUAUACUAUACUAUAUGAUAAACAUAAAAGUGAACUAGUCUAUGCAUGUAUGCACAUGGUGUUGCUGUUGCUGCCUUGAGUCUAAGUGGAUGGUUCUCUUCUCCUCCCUCACUCAACCGCUCAAUGUGUUCUUGGACUUGCUCCCACCACGUGAACCAAUGAAACCAUUUCAGAUCUCAAACUUCAUUUUCAAAUAUACCCUUAACGAAUUCAAGUUUUUUAUUUUUAUUUUUUAUUCUUAGCAUCUGUGUAUCAUGUCGAAUUUGUUAAAUAAUUAAUGUAGAAAUAAAAGUAUUAGGAUUUUAACAUAAAUUUCCACACGCGCAUACUAAUUACUUUUUGGUUGGACAAAUAUCGAAGUGUGUAACAAAUAGCAAUUGCUUCAGGUUUGAUACAUUUUCUCACAAUGUCCAACCAAAAAACAAUUAACACGUGUGUAAAUUUAUGUUAAAUCAUUUAAAUUAAAUCAUAAUAGCAGUUAGUUUGAUUUUAAGAAGAAUUCUGUGUGUUUUUACAGAAAUUUUAUGAUUUGUGUGCAUGUGGAAAAAGACUUUAUUGGAAUAGAUAAAUUCUACCUUGGUAAUGGCUUUUCGGACUACAUGACACCCUGUUUUCAGAGUAAAAAGAGUAAAUAUUUACAUGUUUAGAAUUAUGUUAAUUUUGAGUCUAAAACUAAUUGUGAGUUUAAGGAAUUGUAAGUAUUUAAAUGAGUUUUACCGUGUGUGAUUGAUCAUGCUUCAUGGAUCAGGAUGUGAAUUUUCUCAUCUCAUGAAAGCAGCUCCUUCUAUGUUAUUUUACCACUUGAUCGAUCGACCUGAUUUGCUACUUUUUUUUUUAAGGAACCUGAUUUAUUACUUAAAGAACAUGUUUCCAAACAUAAACAAAAUUAAAACUCAAUUUUAAAUACAAAAAUGUUUCUUGUAUUUUAGGACAAAUAUCUAUUUAAUGUUCCAAUAGCGUCUUUAAAAAAUUAUAGCAAUAACGUAAAAACAAACAUACAGUUAAACAAUUAUAAAUAUAUAAUAUGUAACAAUAGAUAUUUAUAUAUAUUUUAAAUAAAAUAACACUUAAUUAAUAAAUUAUAUAAAAUCUGUAUAAUCAAUUUAUUUUUUAAAAUAUUAAUUCAAUAAUUAAAUUAAUAAUUUUUUUAUACAAAUAUUAAAAUACAAUUUUUACAAAUUUAACAUCUAAUAUCAAUUAAUUCCAUUCGAUUCUAUAAAAACAUAUAAUUUAUGAUUAUUACUGAAUGUUCUUCAUACAAUAACUCUUUAUAAUAGUAAUUUCCACCCACUUUUUUUAUAUAUGUUAUCUCCCUCCAUUAUAUAAAAUAUCUCAUUCACACAUUUUUUCUUCCUAAAAGGUAGAAAUUGCAUAAAAGUUUUAUAAGAAAAAAAUUAUGUAUAUCAUUUAAUUAUAAUUUAUUAUAUAUAAUAAAUUUAUUAAUUUUUAAAUAAUUUAAAUAAUAAUUUAUAAUUAGAUAAUAAUAUAAAAUUAUAAUUUUAUAUUAUUACAUAGACAUAAAAUUCAAAAUUUAUUACAUAAACAUUACUCUAAAUAAUACAAUUAUUAAAGUUAAAAUUUGAUUUAUUUGUUGUCACUUUCCCCUUCACUCGUCUGUCAUAAAUUUUGCAGACAGAGAAGACACUUGGGGGUUUUGUUUCCUCUCUUUUUCACUCUUCGUCUUCCCCAUUCUGAAUUGUCGCACCCAAGUACAACGUUUCAGUAACAUACAACACUCCUUUGAACGAACCAACAACAACAACGCAUUUCUCUUUCACAACAACACCAUUCACAAAAAAACUCUGAUGUAAUAAUGAUCCAUUAUUCUAGUAACUGUCAAAACAGAAAAACAAAGGUGGUUCGUUCCAAAACAUACAUUCCGUAAACCCCUGGCCAGUAAAGUUGUAAAAUUUAAGGCUCAAAGCACAGAGCAGAACAUUCAGAUUCAGAGAAGAAUGGGAGAACCUGAGACCACACGAAUAUUCCAUGCAUGACCCUCUCUCUCUCCUUCCUUUUUCUUUCCAUUGAUCAAAAAACAGUUAAUAAUGGAGUUCUUUGUGUACCCUUUACCCUUUGGACUCCACAGUCUCUCCUUCUUUAUGGACACUAUUUUUUUACUUUAUAUUACAACAUAAUAGCUGUAAAUACAGUCUCAUUGUUCUACUUUUCCCUUGCAUUUCGGAAGGGAGGACCAUGACCAACUUAAGGAACACAAUUCAUGUUCCUUUUCUCUAUCUGAUCAUAGAAAUCAAUUGGGUAAAUAACGUGUUUAGUUUCAUGUUUCAUAUGUGAUUUUCGGAAACUCAGUUAUAAUAGCUAAAAGAACAUUGAUGACAACACUUGCCCCAGAGAAAUUACUAGUAUCAAUUAAGCAUCUAUCAAGCAAGACAAAUUAGUAUUAAUUAAUUGAUUGAUCUUAGGCUUUGUUUUCGUGGCACAACAUAUUAUAUUAUUUUUUUUUCUUGUGUUUGGUAUAGAUAUAGAGAAGAAGAGAAAGUGGGUUACAACGAGAAAGGUUGGUCUUUUGGUCUUUGACAUUUCAUUAAUUGGAGACAGCCUAUGCACCCUACUUGUGUUGUGGGUACCAACUAGCAGCUUUUUUGUCUCCUUAUUUUUAAUUUUAUUAAUUUAUUAUUACUAUUAUACUUUCUCUUCUUCUCCACACCCCAACAACAACAAGCAAGCAACUAAGUUUUCAUUGGCAUAUAAAUGUUUUUUUCUUGUUAGAGAGUUUCUUUUCCGUUUCACUCCUUCGACAGUAAUGAUGUUUUUUCUGUUAAGUAGUGUUGUUGAGGAAUCUGAGGAGUUUGUUGUUGUUGUUGUGAAUAUAGAAAAGUAGCAAUUAUAGCCUUAGAAAAAAAAAAAAAGAAAGACAGAAAACAAAAACCAUUCCUUAAAGUAAUAAGAAGCAGUAGCACGAACAGAAUCAUGAGUGCACGAGUGUUUUCAUUGAUGGGUUUUUAGAAGAACAAAAACAGCUUCUUUUCCAGCCUUAAGCCUUUCUUAACCGUUUCUUUUUCUCCUCUCUCUCACACUCUCAUACUUGUCUUUGGAUUCUGUGUUUUGAUUUUUUUUUUUUUAUAGUAUUUUGUUUUGUAUUUGGGAUUUUGGGGGGUUGCUUGCUUCUGUUGGGAAGUUCUAGUUACCUGUUUAAUGUCUCAACAAAGGCAAACUCAGAUGGUGGGUGGUAACAACCCUGACCAAUAUAAUGACACAACUUUCACCAAAAUCUUUGUUGGAGGGUUGGCUUGGGAGACUCAGAGGGACACAAUGAGAAGGUAUUUUGAGCAGUUUGGAGAGAUCUUAGAGGCUGUUGUUAUCACAGAUAAGAAUACCGGGAGAUCCAAGGGUUAUGGCUUUGUAAGUCCAUUUUCCUUCUUCAUCAUUUUGUGUUUCUAAUAACUCACAUCUUUGCAUAGUUUAUAAUAUUUGCUUGUUUAUCAUUAUUCCAUUUAUGGUUGUACUUGCAUGAUCUUGAACAAUGAGUCUGUGAUGUGUUGUUUUCCAAGGUCACAUUUAAGGAUCCUGAGUCAGCCAUGAGAGCAUGUCAGAAUCCAUCUCCAGUUAUUGAUGGUAGGAGAGCAAACUGCAACCUUGCUUCUCUUGGUGCAAGCAAGAAUCGACCACCAACUUUUCAGCAUGGUCUCAUUCAUUGCAUUCCUCCUUUAUCUACUUUGCUCUUUCUUUUUAUUACAAUACUUUUUCCAUUUUUGUUGAGUUUAUUUCACAAUUUUUGCAAACAAAUUUGUGUUUCGUAGUUAUAUUUCAUUCUUAAAUAGAUUUAACUCAUCCUAGGUAAGAAGGUAACACCUUUAAUGACUGGUUAUUUAGUUAAUAUAAAACAGAAAUGAUUGAGUUGUAAAAACAAAAAAAAGGGAUUGAAAUGCAAACUCACAUUGUAGGUGCAG